rnacentral:rRNA from 1 species
UACGGAGGGGGCUAGCGUUGUUCGGAAUUACUGGGCGUAAAGCGCACGUAGGCGGCUUUGUAAGUUAGAGGUGAAAUCCCGGGGCUCAACCCUGGAAUGGCCUUUGAGACUGCUGGUCUUGAGUUCGAGAGAGGUGAGUGGAAUUCCGAGUGUAGAGGUGAAAUUCGUAGAUAUUGGGAAGAACACCGGUGGCGAAGGCGGCGACCUGGUCCGAUACUGACGCUGAGGCGCGAAAGCGUGGGGAGCAAACAGG